GGUAGAGCUGAGCAGGGAGGAGAAGAAGCUGGAAAGGAGACUGGAGAAGGAAGGAAGCUGGAUAGAGAGCAAGAAGGAGACCUGGAGGAGGCACGUGGAGCAGAGAGACAUGAGAAGAAGCAGAGUUUGCUUCCUGGACCUGGACUGUUAAAAACAGAUGCAGAUUGUACUUUCCAGAAAUGCAGGAUCUGAACUUUUGCAACUGCUGUACCUUUCUCCAGUUAUUUGAAACUCACUAGAGAAAAAAACAUGAUGACUAUUUGACACUUCCACUAUUGAAGAAGGCAGAUGUUUCAUUGAAAAUCUGCAGACCCAGCAAUGAUCCAGAACUCACCUCCUCUAUAAUAGUGAGUUUUUAAAUCUCCAAAUCAACACAUCCCGAAACAAAUUAUAUUUUGUUUAUAUUCUGGUGAAAAAGAGCAAGCUGUCAUAGAAAAACUGAGAUUCACCAAACAUGACCAGGAGGGAUGUAAAGGAAGACCAAACACAGAGUGGAAUAUAUUCAAGAGAGCAGAAGACUCCUCAUGAACACAUACAGUCUUUUGCCAGCAAGGGAAAAUUCCCUGAAACCAGAGUCCUCACCCACUGUCUUCUCCAUUAAGGACCAACAUUAAACAGCAACCAACAUGUUAUCUAACAAUUUGCU